rnacentral:rRNA from 1 species
UACAGAGGGUGCGAGCGUUAAUCGGAAUGACUGGGCGUAAAGGGUGCGUAGGUGGUUGAUUGAGUGCGCUGUGAAAUCCCCGGGCUUAACCUGGGAAUGGCAGCGCAUACUGAUGAACUAGAGUAGGUCAGAGGGGUGUGGAAUUUCCGGUGUAGCGGUGAAAUGCGUAGAGAUCGGAAAGAACACCGGUGGCGAAGGCGGCACUCUGGGGCCUAACUGACACUGAGGCACGAAGGCGUGGGGAGCAAACAGG